rnacentral:rRNA from 1 species
GUGGGGAAUUUUGGACAAUGGGCGAAAGCCUGAUGCAGCAACGCCGCGUGAGGGACGACGGCCUUCGGGUUGUAAACCUCUUUUAGUAGGGAAGAAGCGAAAGUGACGGUACCUGCAGAAAAAGCACCGGCUAACUACGUGCCAGCAGCCGCGGUAAUACGUAGGGUGCAAGCGUUAUCCGGAAUUAUUGGGCGUAAAGAGCUCGUAGGCGGUCUGUCGCGUCUGCUGUGAAAACUGGAGGCUCAACCUCCAGCCUGCAGUGGGUACGGGCAGACUAGAGUGCGGUAGGGGAGAUUGGAAUUCCUGGUGUAGCGGUGGAAUGCGCAGAUAUCAGGAGGAACACCGAUGGCGAAGGCAGAUCUCUGGGCCGUAACUGACGCUGAGGAGCGAAAGCGUGGGGAGCGAACAGGAUUAGAUACCCCGGUAGUCC